UAUUAGGUUGGUGCAAAAGUGAUUGUGGUUUUGGGAAUUACUUUUAACGGCAAAAACUGCAAUUACUUUUUCACUAACCUAAUA
ensembl:miRNA